rnacentral:misc_RNA from 1 species
AUCGCCAAUCGACUGGUACUUCGCAACGAUUUCAUACUAUCUCUCAAAUCAUCCAUUUUAUACUCUUUUGGUGAAUCUCUUCCAUUUCUCUCUUCUCGUAAUUCUCUCUUCAUCGACAUCGUCACAAACGCACUGUAAAAUUCACAGAUCUCACGCUCUAUGCGAAUGUCCGUUACUCUUCUUCUUCACGCAGUAAACACAAAAUCAUCAGAAGUUAAAGCUGAUUUGGAUUGAUUUCUCUGAGUGUGUGCAUAAGCUGAAUGGAUUAUCUGCAAAUCGAACUGUAGAAAAUUCGAAAGUUCUGCUAGUUUAG